GGUCCGUAGUGUAGCGGUUAUCACGUCGCCCUGUCACGGCGAAGAUCGCGGGUUCGAUUCCCGUCGGGACCG
rnacentral:tRNA from 1 species